rnacentral:rRNA from 1 species
UGAGGAAUUUUGCGCAAUGGGCGAAAGCCUGACGCAGCGACGCCGCGUGGGCGAUGAAGCUUCUUGGAGUGUAAAGCCCUGUCAGGUGGGACGAAUCCGGGGGUGUGAAUAAUGCCUCCCGCUGACGGUACCACCAGAGGAAGCCCCGGCUAACUCCGUGCCAGCAGCCGCGGUAAUACGGAGGGGGCAAGCGUUGUUCGGAAUCACUGGGUGUAAAGGGUGCGUAGGCGGUCCGUUAAGUCUGAUGUGAAAGCCCUGGGCUCAACUCAGGAACUGCAUUGGAAACUGGCGGACUGGAGUACCGGAGAGGGAAGCGGAAUUCCUGGUGUAGCGGUGAAAUGCGUAGAUACCAGGAGGAACACCGGUGGCGAAGGCGGUUCCUGGCCGAGUACUGACGCUGAGGCACGAAAGCGUGGGGAGCGAACGGGAUUAGAUACCCGGUAGUCCACGCUGUAAACGAUGGGUGCUAGGUGUUGGGGGUAUCGACCCUCCAGUGCCGUAGCUAACGC